rnacentral:lncRNA from 1 species
AGUUUCCAGAGAGAAGCGGCCGUGCAGAGCGGGUCUCAAGAAAGGGGUGAACCGCUUUACAGCAGAGUAUCUGCCAUACGAUGUCAGGAGCAGCCAGCGUCGACCGAAUAGUCAACCUUUCUUCCUUUUAUUAAAGGCCGACGUCACCAAGGUCGCA